CCCCGAAGUGCAGGACCAGCGCAGACGGAAACAGAAAGCAGCAACUGCAGGCUAAGCGCGCUUUACUGAGCAUAUACAACAGCACACAGGAAGCAAAGAACCCCGUCCAUUCAAAUGAAGGGCUAACUGGGGAAGCGGCUGCCUGAUUUCGCAUCCUGCACCCAUGAUAGGAAAGAAGUUCUCAGGGUGUGUGUGGGCGGCACAGGGAGUGUCGCCUGGGGCUCGGGGUCCCCUUCUGCAAUGGAAGUAACAUCCACGGUAUCACCUGGAACCAACUCUUCCCGGGAUGCACAGCCCUGAGCCGCAAUGUUUUGGUCAACAACGGAACAGACGGAUGACUUUGCAGCCGCCGCAGUUUGUGUAAGGACAGGCCCCGGGUCUGCACCACGAUGAAACUGCCACUCCUCAGAGAGCGUCCUGCUCCUCCAGCACCGCGAGGGCUGACUGAACUGGAGUGGUCGGGGCGCUGCUCACCGGGUGUGCCGUACAGGCUGCUCCAUGCCUUCGUGCCUUUUCUUGGUCCACACAGCAAGCUGCAACCCAGAGCGACUGACGGCAAUGAAAGAAAUGAUCAUGAAACACAUGGGGUCCGCCCAUGUUCACAUCUUUUCUUCUUACACAUGACUUCGCUGGGAGCUCGCGUGCAGCAGAUAUUCCCAAAGCACUGACCGGAAGCUGGCACUCUUAGCUCCUGAGGCCACUUUCCGUUCACACUCCUCAUUUCACAGAACCCGCUCAUGCAGGUGAGAAGCAGAAACAAAACCAGCAGAGCACCACUAAAACCUGCAAGGAGAAUUCUAUGACAUUCCAACUCCCAAGGUGACAUGGUCGAGGGCAUUGUGUUGACUGUCAUCUCUGUCAGGAACGAAGAGCCCUAGCCCAUGUGGCGCUGGCUUGGUCUGUGAUCCUAGCCCAAGCUACAGCAGAAACUCCCUAUAGAAGGAAGCUCUGGCGGGCCGGCGGGCGGCACUGCUCACAGACAUAAGAGGAGGAAGCUGCUAGCAGUGGCCGUCACCUUCAGGAAGACAGGUGACCUGCGGAGCAUUUCACCCCAAAGCUGUCGAAGGUGUCUGUGUGAUUGCACAAAACCCUCACUUGGUCAUUUGUUUAGGUGUUUUAAUAAUGCUGAUGCAAAAAAAGAGUGAAAUUACAGGUGCCAGUUCCCAUUGUAGAAUGCUGAUAAACAACUUACCAUUUUGCAGUGGCUGGUCACAUCUGGAGC
rnacentral:lncRNA from 1 species